rnacentral:tRNA from 1 species
GGCCGCUUGGUGUAGUUGGUUAUCACGCAUCCUUCACAUAGUUUGUGCGGAUGAGGUCUUGAGUUCGAACCUCAAAGUGGUCA